AUGAUUGCCAUUCUAACUGGCAUGAGAUGGUAUCUCAUUGUGGUUUUGAUUUGCAUUUCUCUAAUGAUCAGUGAUGAUGAGCUUUUUUCAUAUGUUUGUUGGCCGCAUAAAUGUCUUCUUUUGAGAAGUGUCUGUUCAUAUCCUUCACCCACUUUUUGAUGGGGUUGUUUUUUUUCUUGUAAAUUUGUUUAAGUCUUUUGUAGAUUCUGAAUAUUAGCCCUUUGUCAGAUGGAUAGAUUGCAAAAAUUUUCUCCCAUUCUUUAGGUUGCCUGUUCACUCUAAUGAUAGUUUCUUUUGCUGUGCAGAAGCUCUUUAGUUUAAUUAAAUCCUAUUUGUCAAUUUUGGCUUUUGUAGGAGGGACUGAGCCCCCUCCCCACCUCCAUUCCAACCCACAUGACACCUAGCGGACUCUCCUUUAAAUGGGAAGUAGCAAGAGCCCAGGCUGACUGUUUCCCACUCUCUUGAGGUCUUGGACCUAGUGGGUCCUGACAUAUCCAUACUGGCUCCACA
rnacentral:lncRNA from 1 species